GUGCCUCGCUUCGCAGCACAUAUACUAAAUUGGAACGAGACAGAGAAGAUUAGCAUUAGCCCCUGACGGCAAAGUAUGACACGCAAAUUCGUGGAAGCUUCUCAUAUUUGC